rnacentral:rRNA from 1 species
CUACGUAGGUCCCGAACGUUGCGCGAAAUUACUGGGCGUAAAGGGUCCGUAGGCGGUCUGGUAAGUGGAAGGUGAAAACCUGGGGCUCAACUCCAGAAUUGCCUUCCAAACUGCCGGACUUGAGGCAGGGAGAGGUCGGCGGAAUUCCCGGUGUAGUGGUGAAAUGCGUAGAUAUCGGGAGGAACACCAGUGGCGAAGGCGGCCGACUAGAACUGUCCUGACGCUGAGGGACGAAAGCCAGGGGAGCGAACCGGAUUAGAAACCCGUGUAGUCC